GGACAGGUGGCUGAGCGGUUUAAGGCACUCGACUCGAAAUCGAGCGUGGGGGAAACUCCACCGUGGGUUCAAAUCCCACCCUGUCCGC
rnacentral:tRNA from 1 species